rnacentral:tRNA from 1 species
GGAGAGCUGACCGAGCGGUCGAAGGUGCUUGAUUCGAAAUCAAGUGUGCCGACAGGUACCAAGGGUUCGAAUCCCUUGCUCUCCG